UACGUAGGGGGCUAGCGUUGUCCGGAUUUAUUGGGCGUAAAGAGCGUGUAGGCGGCCAGGUAGGUCUGGUGUGAAAACUCGAGGCUUAACCUCGAGAUGUCAUCGGAAACCAUCUGGCUAGAGUCCGGAAGAGGAGAGCGGAAUUCCUGGUGUAGCGGUGAAAUGCGCAGAUAUCAGGAAGAACACCAAUGGCGAAAGCAGCUCUCUGGGACGGUACUGACGCUGAGACGCGAAAGCGUGGGGAGCGAACAGG
rnacentral:rRNA from 1 species